CCACCGCGGUUAUACGAGAGGCCCAAGUUGAUAACAGUCGGCGUAAAGCGUGGUUAGGCCAUCAACCCCCACUAAAGUCGAAUGCCCUCAAAGCUGUUAUACGCACCCGAGGGUUAGAAGUUCAAAUACGAAAGUAACUUUAUAACUCUGAAUCCACGAAAGCUACGGCACAAACUGGGAUUAGAAACCCCACUAUGCCUAGCCCUAAACAUUGGCAACACAAAACACCCGUUGCCCGCCAGGGCACUACGAGCAUUAGCUUAAAACCCAAAGGACUUGGCGGUGCUUUAGACCCACCUAGAGGAGCCUGUUCUAGAACCGAUACCCCCCGUUAAACCUCACCCCUUCUUGUCAUUACCGCCUAUAUACCGCCGUCGUCAGCUUACCCUGUGAAGGAUUAGUAGUAAGCAAAGUUGUCACAACCCAAAACGUCAGGUCGAGGUGUAGCCUAUGAAGGGGGAAGAAAUGGGCUACAUUCACUAAUUAAGAGAAUACGAACGAUGUAUUGAAACACACGUCCAAAGGAGGAUUUAGCAGUAAGCAAAAAAUAGAGCGUUUUGCUGAAAAUGGCCCUGAAGCGCGCACACACCGCCCGUCACUCUCCCCAAGCUAACGACUAAAUAUAAUUAAAUCAUAAUAACUGCAAAGGGGAGGCAAGUCGUAACAUGGUAAGUG
rnacentral:rRNA from 1 species